rnacentral:rRNA from 1 species
GGAUGAACGCUAGCGGGAGGCCUAACACAUGCAAGCCGAGCGGUAGAGUUUCUUCGGAAACUUGAGAGCGGCGCACGGGUGCGUAACACGUGUGCAACCUACCUUUAUCUGGGGGAUAGCCUUUCGAAAGGAAGAUUAAUACCCCAUAAUAUAAUGAUUGGCAUCAAUUAUUAUUGAAAACUCCGGUGGAUAGAGAUGGGCACGCGCAAGAUUAGAUAGUUGGUGAGGUAACGGCUCACCAAGUCAAUGAUCUUUAGGGGUCCUGAGAGGGAGAUCCCCCACACUGGUACUGAGACACGGACCAGACUCCUACGGGAGGCAGCAGUGAGGAAUAUUGGACAAUGGGUGAGAGCCUGAUCCAGCCAUCCCGCGUGAAGGAUGACGGUCCUAUGGAUUGUAAACUUCUUUUGUACAGGGAUAAACCUACCCUCGUGAGGGUAGCUGAAGGUACUGUACGAAUAAGCACCGGCUAACUCCGUG